rnacentral:rRNA from 1 species
UACGGGGGGGGCAAGCGUUGUUCGGAAUUACUGGGCGUAAAGGGCGCGUAGGCGGUUUGCUAAGUUGAAUGUGAAAACUCUGGGCUUAACCCAGAGCCUGCAUUCAAUACUGGCAGGCUAGAGUUCUGGAGGGGAUAGCGGAAUUCCUGGUGUAGCGGUGAAAUGCGUAGAUAUCAGGAGGAACACCGGUGGCGAAGGCGGCUAUCUGGACAGAGUCUGACGCUGAGGCGCGAAAGCCAGGGGAGCAAACGGG